UGAGGAAUAUUGCGCAAUGGAGGCAACUCUGACGCAGCCAUGCCGCGUGCAGGAAGAAGGCGCUACGCGUCGUAAACUGCUUUUAUCAGGGAAGAAACCCCGGGACGUGUCCCGGGUUGACGGUACCUGAGGAAUAAGCACCGGCUAACUCCGUGCCAGCAGCCGCGGUAAUACGGAGGGUGCAAGCGUUAUCCGGAUUCAUUGGGUUUAAAGGGUGCGUAGGCGGAACGUUAAGUCAGUGGUGAAAUCCUGCAGCUCAACUGUAGACUUGCCAUUGAUACUGGCGUUCUUGAGUGCGCUUGAAGUAGGCGGAAUGUGUCGUGUAGCGGUGAAAUGCUUAGAUAUGACACAGAACACCGAUUGCGAAGGCAGCUUACUAAGGCGAUACUGACGCUGAGGC
rnacentral:rRNA from 1 species